GGAAAGCGCAGGAAAACAGAGGAAGGGGCCGUGCCUAACCCCCAGCCUUUCCACCCAGCUCUUACUUUAGAAGACAAGUUCUCUCCUCCCUCAACCCCAGCCGUGCCCUGGCCACCCCAGGGGAAGCCAACGCUGAACUUUCCUGACAGCAGCGGACACUUACAGAGGCCACUGUGGAACAGAGUUCAUUUCCAACAUCCUGGCAUUAGAGACUCAGGAUACCAAGCUCCCAGCUGCUGCUCCAGUGCCCUGCCUGGUGCCCUGCUCCCUGCCAUGUUUGUUGAUGGACUCCUAUCCCUCUUAAACUCUAAGCCCCGAAUAAAUCCUUCUGUUAAGAAAACAUAACCACCCCAGGACACCCUCUGCCCCAGGUCCCCUGUCAGUGCUCCAGCUGCCUCCAGCCCUUGACCGUGCAGCCCCCAUGAGAUCCAGUUGCCUGUGGACACGGCCCUUGUCAUGGCCAACACACUAACUAGAUUGGAAACCACGGGAGCAGCAGCUCAGCCACUGUGCACCCCAUGGUAUCCCCAGCUCUAGGUCCUAUUCUUGCCCCACUGAACCUGACUCAAGGCUCUCAGCUCACCCUGUCUUCUCCCAGGAAGUCACCAGAACCAAUUCCGGCUAAACCAAGGGGUGUGGUGCUAGGAUUAAAGGCGUGCGCCACCGCGAUCACCUGACUGCAAGCGACUGUUCUUUUCCUGUGUGCUCUUGAGAGCUUCUGGACCACAUUGCCCAUUAUGGGGCCUGAAGGCUGUGGAACAUCGUGCAGAGCAGAAAUUACUCAAAGACAGUUGUAUCACCAAGGCUCACGGCAGCAUGGGUGACAGCUCACAGAGCUGGGAGCCUCGAGAGCACUGCACAGCCUGCAGGCAGCACGACAGGUUGGAGGUGUCCUUUCCAGUCUGUGCUCUAACCCUCUGCCAGGCAGCUCUGCUGGUUUCUGCUUCUUCCGGGCAGCUGGUCUGCGUUAAGAGUCUUUGGAGCUUGGUUCUGCUCUUCUGCAGAGGGAAUCUCGGUUUCUAUUGCUUACUCUGGCAUGGAUGGGCC
rnacentral:lncRNA from 1 species